AGGUUAUCUACCAAGCAAAAUGUUGAGAGACUGUUUGAGAACGAAGUGAACCAAUGUAAUUUACUAUGCAUAUAUCUGAUUCCUGGUAUUUAAAGUUGAUCAGGAAGUGAGUGGAGAGCCUCUCUGCAGCUGGGAGAUAUCGACGUAACAAAGGCAAAGGCAGUGCUGAAUUUAAUGAUUGAAUCUCAACAUAAAUGAUUUUGUGGACACAUUCAGAAGCAUCUCGAACCUUGGAACCUGGAAGCCAAACUACCGUCCGUGGUUCAUUUUUUGCAUCCUCAGAAUUGCCCAUCUGUACCUCUAACUAUAGAGUUCCCCUAUUACAGCUGCCAUCUUCUUUAAUUCCCUACCCUUCUGAACCACAGGGCCAGACUCAGUUCCAAAGGCACAGCUGCUUUUGCUUCCCCCAAGUAGGGGGAAAAUGGAGAACUUAUUGUUGAGGGGGAUGUAGUGGGGUACUCCCCACUAUCUGAUGUUCUCCCUUCCCUCUCCUGACAGUUAGCUAUUUGUCUGUCUUCUCUAACCUUUAGGGGGAUUAGUUUCCUGUAGCUCCUGUCCAUCACCUCUUCA